rnacentral:lncRNA from 1 species
GUGCUAACCUUGCACUUACAUCCACUCCCCAAGAUCCUACUUGGAAAUUUCAAUCCACUAUCCUUUGUAUUCAACCCGAAUACAAAACGUCGGAAACUCCGAUACUAGCUAUCCCAAGCUAGAUCACUUGUUUCCCGGGUACAAGUAAACCCAAAACACUCCGAUUUUAGGUUCGGAUCAACCUUUCCUUGUUUUGGAAAUCCUCCAAACACAAGAACAAAAACUCACAAAGAGUAAGAAUAUUUAGAGCAUAGAUGAAUACAAUAACAGCUCCUUAAAUGAGCAAAUAUAACAAUAAAAACUUUACUCAAAUGAAGAACCCCUUUUUCAGAUUUUCUCAAAGUGGAUGAACGCUUGAAUGCUUGAGAAGAGGUUGAUUGUUGAUUGAAGAUCUCUUGAAAGCUUUGAACGAUCUCUAGAUCAAGGUUGAACAAUAGGCUUGAAAGAUUCUCUCCUUGAAAGCUCUUGCUUUUCUCUUUCACAAUCUCUCUGGUAUAUUGUGGAUCCUCUCUCUUUUUCUUUUGGAUUUUUCGUUGAUCUCAGGCUUUUUCGUGCAGAUUUCGGAUCCUCUCUUCUGUUCUUCUCAU